CGCCGCCCCGGGAUUCCAGCUCAGGCCCUGAGAAAGACAAGAAAAGCAGUUCUCCAACCUCCCUCGCCACCCGAGCCUUCCCCCGCCGACCUGUCAUUGCUCUUGAAUGGUUCCCCGCUGGAGCACACCUCCCCCGUGAACUGAAAUGCACAUGUGGAUAA
rnacentral:lncRNA from 1 species